AUUGAACGCUGGCGGAAUGCUUUACACAUGCAAGUCGAACGGCAGCACGGACUUCGGUCUGGUGGCCAGUGGCGAACGGGUGAGUAAUGUAUCGGAACGUGCCCAGUCGCGGGGGAUAACGUAGUGAAAAUUACGCUAAUACCGCAUACGAUCUCUGAUGCAAGCGGGGGAGCGCAAGACUGAGCGCGCAUGGAGCGCCCGCUAUUAGAUUAGGUAGUUGGUGGGGUAAAGGCCCACCAAGCCAACGAUCUUUAGCUGGGCUGAGAGGACGACCAGCGACACUGGAACUGAGACACGGUCCAGACUCCUACGGGAGGCAGCAGUGGGGGAUUUUGGACAAUGGGCGAAAGCCUGAUCCAGCCAUUCCGCGUGCAGGAUGAAGGCCCUCGGGUUGUAAACUGCUUUUGUACAGAACGAAAAGGUUUCUACUAAUACUAGGAGCUCAUGACGGUACUGUAAGAAUAAGCACCGGCUAACUACGUGCCAGCCGCCGCCGUAA
rnacentral:rRNA from 1 species